GACCGGAUGCGGAUCUCGAAAGCCUGUCCCAGUUCGGACUGGAGUCUGCAACCCGACUCCACGAAGUUGGAUUCGCUAGUAAUCGCGCAUCAGCCAUGGCGCGGUGAAUACGUUCCCGGGCCUUGUACACACCGCCCGUCACACCAUGAGAGUUGGGAAUACCCGAAGCCCAUGUCAAAGUGGUCGAAGGUAGGCUUGAUGAUUGGGGUGAAGUCGUAACAAGGUACC
rnacentral:rRNA from 1 species